GACGAACGCUGGCGGCGUGCCUAAUACAUGCAAGUAGAACGCUGAAGGAGGAGCUUGCUUCUCUGGAUGAGUUGCGAACGGGUGAGUAACGCGUAGGUAACCUGCCUGGUAGCGGGGGAUAACUAUUGGAAACGAUAGCUAAUACCGCAUAACAGUAGAUAUUGCAUGAUAUCUGCUUAAAAGGUGCAAUUGCAUCACUACCAGAUGGACCUGCGUUGUAUUAGCUAGUUGGUGGGGUAACGGCUCACCAAGGCAACGAUACAUAGCCGACCUGAGAGGGUGAUCGGCCACACUGGGACUGAGACACGGCCCAGACUCCUACGGGAGGCAGCAGUAGGGAAUCUUCGGCAAUGGACGAAAGUCUGACCGAGCAACGCCGCGUGAGUGAAGAAGGUUUUCGGAUCGUAAAGCUCUGUUGUAAGAGAAGAACGAGUGUGAGAGUGGAAAGUUCACACUGUGACG
rnacentral:rRNA from 1 species